rnacentral:rRNA from 1 species
AGAGUUUGAUCCUGGCUCAGAAUGAACGCUGGCGGCGUGCCUAACACAUGCAAGUCGUACGAGAAAUCCCGAGCUUGCUUGGGAGAGUAAAGUGGCGCACGGGUGAGUAACGCGUGGGUAACCCACCUUCGAAUCUGGGAUAACUCCGCGAAAGCGGUGCUAAUACCGGAUAAGACCACAGCCGUUUCGGCGGCAGAGGUAAAAGCUGACCUCUCCAUGGAAGUUAGCGUUCGAGGACGGGCCCGCGUCCUAUCAGCUUGUUGGUGGGGUAAAGGCCUACCAAGGCAGCGACGGGUAGCUGGUCUGAGAGGAUGAUCAGCCACACUGGAACUGGAACACGGUCCAGACUCCUACGGGAGGCAGCAGUGAGGAAUUUUGCGCAAUGGGGGAAACCCUGACGCAGCAACGCCGCGUGGGUGAAGAAGGCUUUCGGGUCGUAAAGCCCUGUCAGGUGGGAAGAACCGUUUCGAUACUAAUAAUGUCGAAGCCUGACGUACCACCAGAGAAGCACCGCCAACU